UACGUAGGGGGCAAGCGUUGUCCGGAUUUAUUGGGCGUAAAGAGCGUGUAGGCGGCCAGACAGGUCCGUUGUGAAAACUCGAGCUACCAUCGAGACGCCGAUGGAAACCGUCUGGCUAGAGUCCGGAAGAGGAGAGUGGAAUUCCUGGUGUAGCGGUGAAAUGACGCAGAUAUCAGGAAGAACACCCGUGGCUAAGGCGGCUCUCUAGUACGGUACUGACGCUGAGACGCGAAAGCGUGGGGAGCGAACAGG
rnacentral:rRNA from 1 species